GAUCCUGGCUCAGGAUGAACGCUAGCUACAGGCUUAACACAUGCAAGUCGAGGGGAAACGACAUCGAAAGCUUGCUUUUGAUGGGCGUCGACCGGCGCACGGGUGAGUAACGCGUAUCCAACCUGCCCAUCACUUGGGAAUAACCUUGCGAAAGUAAGACUAAUGCCCAAUGAUAUCCCACGAAGGCAUCCGAAAGUGGGAUUAAAGAUUUAUCGGUGAUGGAUGGGGAUGCGUCUGAUUAG
rnacentral:rRNA from 1 species